UGAACCCUCUCACCUAGAGGAAGGAGAAGUCGUAACAAGGUCUCCGUAGGUGAACCUGCGGAGGGAUCCAUAGCAA
rnacentral:rRNA from 1 species